rnacentral:tRNA from 1 species
AGCCCCGUAGUGAGUACCCACGUUGGAGUGCAAAUCCAGAAACGCAGAAUAAUAUCCUGCCGGGGCUU